rnacentral:rRNA from 1 species
UUGGAGGGCAAGUCUGGUGCCAGCAGCCGCGGUAAUUCCAGCUCCAAUAGCGUAUAUUAAAGUUGUUGCAGUUAAAAAGCUCGUAGUUGAAUUUCGGGGUCAGUAGAUUGGUCGUGCCACUGGUAUGUACUGGUCUCACUGGCUCCUCCUUCCUGAUGAACCGUAAUGCCAUUAAUUUGGUGUUGCGGGGAGACUGGACUGUUACUUUGAAAAAAUUAGAGUGUUUAAAGCAGGCUAACGCUUGAAUACAUUAGCAUGGAAUAAUGAAAUAGGACGUUCGAUCUUAUUUUGUUGGUUUCUAAGAUUGACGUAAUGAUUAAUAGGGAUAGUUGGGGGCAUUAGUAUUCAAUUGUCAGAGGUGAAAUUCUUGGAUUUAUUGAAGACUAACUACUGCGAAAGCAUUUGCCAAGGAUGUUUUCAUUAAUCAAGAACGAAAGUUAGGGGAUCGAAGACGAUCAGAUACCGUCGUAGUCUUAACCAUAAACUAUGCCGACUAGGGAUCGGAUGAUGUUAAUUUUUUAAUGACCCAUUCGGCGCCUUACGGGAAA